UAGAUCAGAAUAGCAUUCAUAGAAAUGUUCUAACACAGAGUAGAAUCGAACAUUGAAGAGAUUAGUUUACAACAGUAAAUAGAUGGGCGCCUAAUUCCAACACAAUAGGGGUCUAUGGGUGCAAGUCAGCUGAACACCAUGAUUGAUGAGUGGGUAGGUGGGUUAGGUGCACCUCUCGCCUAGUAAGAAAUAAUGAGGCUAGU
rnacentral:lncRNA from 1 species